UGCGAGAUCGUCUAAUGGUAGGACACGUCCCUCUGAAGGAUGUUAUCUUGGUUCGAGUCCAAGUCUCGCAG
rnacentral:tRNA from 1 species